UUCCUGUACUUGGUGUUACUGCGAAGGGGGGACGGAGAAGGCUAUGUUGGCCGGGCGACGGUUGUCCCGGUUUAAGCGUGUAGGCUGGUUUUCCAGGCAAAUCCGGAAAAUCAAGGCUGAGGCGUGACGACGAGGCACUACGGUGCUGAAGCAACAAAUGCCCUGCUUCCAGGAAAAGCCUCUAAGCAUCAGGUAACAUCAAAUCGUACCCCAAACCGACACAGGUGGUCAGGUAGAGAAUAC
rnacentral:rRNA from 2 species